CAAGAACAAAAGCGAUCGGGGAAACUAAAGAAAACGGAGAAAAACAAAAUACAAACCGGAAUAAAACAAAACGCUGGAAAUAAACGGUAUGCCCGGCCUGCUCAUGACCAAUCACGCUGAGACGGCUCAUAGCUGCCUCCUGAAGAUGGAAGAGCUUGUCCAUCUGGUUGCUAAGUGCCUCGACUCUUCUCUCAAUCAAUGCCAAUGAUGAUGACAGAUGCACUGAGGAUGAAGCUGAUGAAGCUUGAUCACAGGCGCCAGGCGAAAAUGAUUUGCCGUCGCGGGUCAUUGAGGGUUUUUUGGUUCCAGUUCUUCCCCCAGUGUGGUCACUGCUGGUGGAUUUUCGAUUGUGAAGAGAAUUUGAGUCAUAAACUCUUGCUAAAGACGUGACAAAAGUGGAGCUCAUUUUAGCAGUCGAACGGUACAAAAGCAAGAAUCCCAGUCUCAAAGAGCUAGCGAAUACAAGCCUGAGCUGACAGAGAGUUUAUUAGGUCCCUGUUAUUGCCUGAUCCAUUAUCCUUCCUUCACUCCUGUUUGCGUUUGAGCCCACAGUUCUAACCUUUAUACAGCUGGCUGUAGGGUCUGCUGAUUGGUGUGUGUGUGUGAUGGGACACUGUGAGGCCCUAAGUUUCCAUCCCAUCCCACUGUAAAGCCAGAAGCCAGGUGGAGGGGAUGUGGAAAAUGAGAACAAACUGAGUGACACAGAUUAGAGUUAAAGGAAACGUGUGUGUGUGUGUGUCUCUUAUAUCAGAAGUGUAGAAACAUCUCUUAAGCAAUCAAGCUUUUUUACUUUUGGUAAAUAAACUAUUGUAUAACCCCAAGUCAGAAAAAGUUGGGACAGUAUGGAAAAAGCAAAUAAUAAAAAAAAAUACAGUUUCUUACAUUUACUUUGACUUGUAUUUGAUUGUAGACAGGAUGAACCUGAAACAUUUCAUCUUUUUAUCUGCUCAACAUCAUCUAAUCAACUUCAUUUAUUAAUAAACAUCCAUUCCUGCAUUUCAGCCCUGCAACACAUUCCAAAAAAAGUUGGGACAGUAAAUCAUUUACCACUUUGUAAUGUUGCCGUUCUUUUCACCACUUAAAAGACGCUUUGGCACCGAGGAGACCAAGUGAUUUAGUGUUUCAGCUUUUAUUUUGUCCCGUUCUUCCUGCAAACACAUCUUAAGAUGUGCAACAGUAUGGGGCCGUCGUUGUCACAUUUUUCCUUUCAAAAUUCUCUAUUGGGGCAGGUCAGGAGUGCAGGCAGGCCAGUCCAGUACCCGUACCCUCUUCUUCUGCAGCCAUGCCUUCGCACUGAAAUUCCUCCUGAUUCCUUAAAUGGUUUAAUGAUAUUAUGCUCUGUAGAGGGAGAAAUUUGCAAAUCCCUUUUAAUCUUUUUUUGAGGUACAUUGUUUUUAAACAUUUCAAUAAUUUUCUCACACAUUUGUUUGCUCAUUACUAGCCCUAAAUUGCCCCCGUCCCAACUUUUUUUGGAAUGUGUUGCAGACCUGAAAUGCAGGAAUGAAGGUUUAUUAAGAAAUUAAAUGAAGUUGAGCAGAUAAACAUGAAAUAUCUCAGGUUCAUCCUGUCUGCAAUCAAGUAAAAGUCUAAGUAAAUGUAAGGAACACUGCAGUUUUAUUUUUUCCACACUGUCCCAAUUUUUUCUAAUUUGGGGUUGUACUUUUCAUGCCUUUUUGUCCACAUUGACCAAUUAUAUAAAACCUAGUAUAUUGAAUGUAAACCAUUGUUGACAUUUUCUAUAAGAACUAUCUUCAGGUCAUGCCACUUGUGUCUCAGUCUCAGAUGGUUGUAAAGCUGGGGUUUUAAACCCUGGGUCCUGACUCUGAGUUGUCCUGAGUUGUGAGAGAAAUAAUAAUAAAAAAAUGCAUUGUUUAAAA